rnacentral:rRNA from 1 species
UACGUAGGGACCAAGCGUUGUUCGGAUUUACUGGGCGUAAAGGGCGCGUAGGCGGCGCGGUAAGUCACUUGUGAAAUCUCUGAGCUUAACUCAGAACGGCCAAGUGAUACUGCAGUGCUAGAGUGUGGAAGGGGCAAUCGGAAUUCUUGGUGUAGCGGUGAAAUGCGUAGAUAUCAAGAGGAACACCUGAGGUGAAGACGGGUGCUGGGCCAACACUGACGCUGAUGCGCGAAAGCCAGGGAGGCAAACGGG